AGGUGAUUGGGCCGAAGUGCCACUCUGCCAGGCCGCGGUUGGUUCCAGGGACCUGCGGACUAGGGCCGACCUUCCGCUUUAAAUCGUGGGUGGUUGCUAGGGGCGCUCCGAGCCCAUGGCCUGUGGGGAGAGUUCUUCCCUUAGAGUAGGUGUGAGCCCGCCCCAAGACUGGCGGUUGGGAAAACUUGUACGGAGAAUUGGGCUGUCCGGACCCUGAUUUGAUAAGCUCCUGGUACAAAAAUCCCUGCCCGAGUGAGUUGGUCCUGUGUGGCUCCACGCCCUCCACCCGCCCCGCCUUUCGCGGGAUUCCCCGCGCUUCCGGCUGUGGCGCAGGCUCCCAGGCGCCGCGUGGAGCGCCCCGCGCGCGACUCUCCGCGGCCGGUGACGGGGUGCGCCGCCUUGGCAGCGAGCGGGCGCCUUGGGCGAGUCCGUUUGCCUCAGCCCACCCUACCGUGGUGCGUCUCAGAAAGGUUGGUGGGCUUCAGUCAGUGGGUAAAGUCUCCAAGUUUCCUCCUGGUCAAGGCCUUUGGCUUCAGACUGGAACUACACAUCAGCUCUCCUGGGUCUCCAGCUUGAUGACUGCAGAUCUUGGACUUCUUGGCCUCCAUACUCAUAUCUUGACACCAGCAGUGGAAUGCAGCUGUAACAAAUAACUAAAAAUGUGGAAGCAGCUUUGGAACUGGAUAAUGAGUGGAGUCAGAGGAAUUUUAAAGUGCGUGCUAGAAAUAUGGACAUAAAGGACAAUUCUGGUGAGAUGUCAGAUGGAAAUGAGGAAGAUGUUACUAGAAACUGGAAGAAAAGUGACCCUUGUUAUAAAGUGGCAAAGAACUUGGCUGAACUGUGUUCUACCGUUUUGUGCAAGGCAGAAUUUGUGAGUGAUGAAAUUGGAUAUUUAGCUGAGGAGAUUUCUAAGCAAAAUAUUGGAGGAGGGGCUUGGUUCCUCCUGAUUGCUUAUAGUAAAAUGUGAAAGGAGAGAGAUGAAGAAGGAAUUGUUAAGCAAAAAGGAACCAGAACUUGAUGAUUUAGAAGUUUCUCAGCCUAUCUAUAUUGAAAAACAUGAGAAAGCAUGUUCUAAAGAGAAUACCAAUGGCACAACUUGAUUAUCACUUGAUAAAAGAGUUUAUGGGAUUAUAUGAGCAGAAACAGCCAAUUUGAACUGAAGGGGAUGAAGAUGGGACCAAACAAAGGAAGGCUGUUGGGCUUAUUGAAUUUGACAAGACAGAAUAAUAGAACUAUUAAGCUGCAAACAUGCACUAUUCUACAAGAAGAGGGGAAAAUGAUCCCAAAAGUGAUUUAAGAGAUCAUCAGGGCCACUACACUACCUCAGUUUCAACAGCUUUAGGAGUGGGACUACCCAAAAGGACCUUGGGGGUGAUGCUGCCACCUACUGGACCUGGAGGGCAGAGCACUGAACCAAGGAGGAUUAAUUAAAGCCUUAAAAUCUCAUUGACUUUCCCUUGCUAAAUUUUGAACUUGUUUAAGACCAUCACCCCUUUCUUCUCCCUUUUGGAAUGAAAAUGUCUAUCCUAUGACUAUCCCACUAUUGUAUUUUGAAAGUAUAUAACUUGUCUAAUUUCACAGAUUCACAACUGGAGAGGAAUUUUGCCUCAGGAUGAAUCAUGCCUCCAGUCUCACUCUAUCUGAUUUAGAUGAUAUUCAGAUAAGACUUUAGAGUUGGUGCUGGAAUGAAUUAAGAGCUUUGGGGAUUUGAGGAUGAGAUGAAUGUAUUCUGCAUGCAAUAAUGACAUGAAUCUUAGGGGGCCAUGGGUGGAAUGUUAUAGACUGAAUGUGCCCUCCCCCCCAAAUCAUACAUUGAAGCCCUAAUCCCAAAUAUGACAAAGAGACACCAGAGAGCUUUAUUUCUCUGCCCUGGAAGGACACAGUGAAGAGGUAGCUUGUCUGUAAGGAAGAGAGCUUUCACCAGAUCCUGAUCAUGCUGGGAUCUUGAUCUCAGACUUCUGGCUUCCAGAACUGUGAGAAAAUAAAUUUCUGUUGUUUAAGCCA